AUGAGAGCGCUCGCGAUCCUCCUAGUGAUCACCACUGCGGCGACCUUGCCUCAUGUUGCUCUCGCGACAAGCGAUGAUCAGCGCCAAACGAGCAUCCUGUGGCGCCGCGGCUCCAUCGCCGUGGGGGACGACGCCCUGGUGUCCCCCAGCGGCGGCUUCUCGUGCGGCUUCCACCGCGUCGCCACCAACGCCUACGUAUUCGCCAUCUGGUUCACCGCCUCGGCCGAUCCGCGCACCCUCGCGUGGGCAGCCAACCGCGACGCCCCCGUGAACGGCAUGGGCUCCCGCGCCGAGCUUCUCGGGGAUGGAACCCUGGUGCUGCGGGACUUCGACGGGCUGGCCACGUGGAGCACCAACACAAGCGGCACCGGCGCCGAUCGCGCGCAGCUGCUCAACACCGGCAACCUUGUUGUGUCCGACGCCGCCGGCCGCACCCUGUGGCAGAGCUUCGACUGGCCCACCGACACGCUCCACCCCGGGCAGCUCAUCACGCGGCGCGCGCGCCUCGUGUCGGCAAAGGCGAGGGGCUCCACCUCCUCCGGCUACUACAGCUUCUACUUCGACAAUUUCAACAUCCUCAACCUCGUGUACGACGGCCCGGAGAUCAACAUGAACUACUGGCCGAGCCCCUUCAAGACGUGGGUGGAAAACAAGCGGACGGUCUUCAACAGCAGCCGGCUCGGCAGCCUCGAUGACCGCGGCCGCUUCUCGGGGAGCGAUAAUCUGCGGUUCGCCGCCUCCGACAUGGGCGCCGCUGGGCAAGUCAUGCGGCGGCUGACGCUGGACUACGAUGGGAACCUCCGGGCGUACAGCCUCGACGCCGCCGCCGGCGGGGUCUGGCGCGUCACGUGGGUGGCGCUCUCGCGGCAGUGCAGCGUGCACGGGAUCUGCGGCCGGUACGGCGUGUGCGCGUACGGGCUGGCCGGACCGGCGUGCGCGUGCCCCGAGGGGUUCGUGCCCAGCGACCCCGGCGACUGGAGCAAAGGCUGCCGGCGCUUGUUCGACAUCCAGUGCGGCGAGGACGUGUUCUUCGCCGAGCUGGCGAACGUGGACUACUGGGGGUUCGACAAAAAGUUCCGCCAGAUGGCCACCAUCGACGAGUGCCGGCAGCUGUGCAUCGACGACUGCAGAUGCGAGGCGUUCGCCUACAAGAAGGGGGGAGCUGGCUUCUGCUACACGAAGGCCUCUCUGUGGAACGGUCGGAGCUCGGACCCCAUUCAGUUCAUGUACUUCAAGGUGCCUACACGCGUCCAGAAGAAGCUCAACCUGUCGUCCGUGUUGGGCCUGCGCUUCGACGGCCAUGGCUGCAGCACCACGCAAGAACGAAACGUCAACGUCGGCUACUCGCCCUCCCGUCACCUAAAGAACUACAGCGGCAGCAAGAUAAAGUUCGUCUACCUGUACAGCUUCCUGGGGGGAUUGUUCGUCGUGGAAGCGGUCGUCAUCAUCGCCGGCUACCUGUUCGUCUUCCGAGCCGACCCGGCCGCGGUCCAACGUGUCCACGACGAUGGCUACACCUUGGCGAUGAGCCACUUCAGGAAGUUCACGUACGACGAACUGUCCAGCGCUACCUGCGAUUUUGGCGAGGAGCUCGGGAGGGGUGCGUCGGGGGCGGUGUACAAGGGCGUCUUGGACGACGGCCGGGACGUGGCCGUGACGCGGCUGGUGGAGGCGACGACGCCGCAGGCCGAGGAGGUGUUCCGGUCGGAGCUGAGCGUCAUCGGACGGAUCAACCACAUGAACCUGGUCCGGAUAUGGGGCUUCUGCUCCGAGCGCUCGCACAGGCUCCUCGUCUCCGAGUACGUCGAGAACGGCUCGCUGGCCAAGGCCCUCUUCGGCGGGGAGCCCGCGCUGGGGUGGCCGUCGAGGUACAAGAUCGCCGUCGGCGUCGCCAAGGGGCUGGCCUACCUCCACCACGAGUGCCUCGAGUGGAUCCUGCACUGCGACAUGAAGCCGGAGAACGUUCUGCUGGACGCCGACCUGGAGCCCAAGAUCACCGGCUUCGGCCUGGUGAAGCUGCUCAGCCGGGAAGAGGACGCGUGCGGCCAGGCGCCGUCCCGUGUCCAGGGAACAAGGGGGUACGUCGCGCCGGAGUGGGCGCUGAGCCUCCCGAUCACCGGGAAGGCCGACGUGUACAGCUUCGGCGUCGUGCUUCUCGAGCUGCUCCGUGGGCAGAGGGUCAGCGAGUGGGCGGCGGUGGAGGGCGUGCCCGGAGGUGAUGAGCAGGCACGUGUGGAUCUACAGGAGAUCGUAGCGUGGUUCCAGGGCCAGACGCUGGAAUGCCAAGGUGAGCGCUCGGCGCCGUGGCUGGAUGAGUUCGUGGAUGCACGGUUGCUCGGCGACUUCAACCGCUCGCAGGCGGCGGUGAUGCUGGAGGUGGCGGUCACGUGCGUGGAGGAUGAUCCCAGCAGGAGGCCGAGCAUGAACGCCGUUGCGCAAAAGCUUCUCUCGGCGCACGAUGUGGUAGGCUCGGCGUCCCUGCGCCGUGUGUGUCCGGUUCCUGUCCAUGGAAUCAGUAGUCUGCACUUCGUCUGA
rnacentral:rRNA from 1 species